CUUUCGUUUGGUAGGUCUUGCUACGUUUCACACACGGCCCGAAAAUAAGGCAGGGCCCGGCGUAAUUUCACUGUUUCAUCUUGCUUGCCUAUCCGCCACUCCCUGGGAUACAGUUACCCAAAUGAACAGUGGUAUUUGGGCUUGAGCAGAAUGAAGCGUUUGGGUGAAUAAAUCUCGUGAACCUGUUGCACAGCUUCAUCCAUUGGAAGCUCUUCUCACCCAUCACCGCCAACGUCGACCCCUGGACCGCCGCGGCCGUCGCGCCGAACACCGCCGCCUGCAUACAUUAAAUGCUUCUUAACAAGGAGGACAAUUAGGUGGUGCAAUUGGUUGACAAAAUGAAGGGCGGCGCAAUUGGUUUCGGUGAAUUGUAGAGAAAUAUGGUGGCUGCCUAAUUUUUGGGUUUCUCUCUCUCUUUUUUUAAUGUUGGGCGGCGCAUUUGGCAUUUUUAGAUUAGGGACGAAGGUGUUUUGGGGGAGGGGGGGAUUUAUCAUUUUUGGUCAUUUAAUAAAAUGAGGGUUAUACUUGUCAUUUUCACAAUAAUGUAAACUUAAUCUAGAUUUUAAUCUUGGCUAUCAAACACAUCAGGUAUACUAUCUUUA